rnacentral:rRNA from 1 species
AUUGAACGCUGGCGGCAGGCCUAACACAUGCAAGUCGAGCGGAUGAAGGGAGCUUGCUCCUGGAUUCAGCGGCGGACGGGUGAGUAAUGCCUAGGAAUCUGCCUGGUAGUGGGGGAUAACGUCCGGAAACGGGCGCUAAUACCGCAUACGUCCCGAGGGAGAAAGUGGGGGAUCUUCGGACCUCACGCUAUCAGGUGAGCCUAGGUCGGAUUAGCUAGUUGGUGGGGUAAAGGCCUACCAAGGCGACGAUCCGUAACUGGUCUGAGAGGAUGAUCAGUCACACUGGAACUGAGACACGGUCCAGACUCCUACGGGAGGCAGCAGUGGGGAAUAUUGGACAAUGGGCGAAAGCCUGAUCCAGCCAUGCCGCGUGUGUGAAGAAGGUCUUCGGAUUGUAAAGCACUUUAAGUUGGGAGGAAGGGCAGUAAGUUAAUACCUUGCUGUUUUGACGUUACCAACAGAAUAAGCACCGGCUAACUUCGUG